rnacentral:rRNA from 1 species
GACGAACGCUGGCGGCGUGCCUAAUACAUGCCAGUAGAACGCACAGUUUAUACUGUAGCUUGCUACACCAUAGACUGUGAGUUGCGAACGGGUGAGUAACGCGUAGGUAACCUGCCUGGUAGCGGGGGAUAACUAUUGGAAACGAUAGCUAAUACCGCAUAAUAUUAAUUAUUGCAUGAUAAUUCAUUGAAAGGUGCAAUUGCAACACUACCAGAUGGACCUGCGUUGUAUUAGCUAGUAGGUGAGGUAACGGCUCACCUAGGCGACGAUACAUAGCCGACCUGAGAGGGUGAUCGGCCACACUGGGACGGAGACACGGCCCAGACUCCUACGGGAGGCAGCAGUAGGGAGUCUUCGGCAAUGGACGAAAGUCUGACCGAGCAACGCCGCGUGAGUGAAGAAGGUUUUCGGAUCGUAAAGCUCUGUUGUAAGAGAAGAACGGGUGUGAGAGUGGAAAGUUCACACUGUGACGGUAUCUUACCAGAAAGGGACGGCUAACUACGUG